UGGGGAAUAUUGCACAAUGGGCGCAAGCCUGAUGCAGCCAUGCCGCGUGUGUGAAGAAGGCCUUCGGGUUGUAAAGCACUUUCAGCGAGGAGGAAGGUGGUGAGCUUAAUACGCUCAUCAAUUGACGUUACUCGCAGAAGAAGCACCGGCUAACUCCGUGCCAGCAGCCGCGGUAAUACGGAGGGUGCAAGCGUUAAUCGGAAUUACUGGGCGUAAAGCGCACGCAGGCGGUUUGUUAAGUCAGAUGUGAAAUCCCCGGGCUCAACCUGGGAACUGCAUUUGAAACUGGCAAGCUAGAGUCUCGUAGAGGGGGGUAGAAUUCCAGGUGUAGCGGUGAAAUGCGUAGAGAUCUGGAGGAAUACCGGUGGCGAAGGCGGCCCCCUGGACGAAGACUGACGCUCAGGUGCGAAAGCGUGGGGCAGCAAACAGGAUUAGAUACCCUGGUAGUCCACGCUGUAAACGAUGUCGAUUUGGAGGUUGUGCCCUUGAGGCGUGGCUUCCGGAGCUAACGCGUUAAAUCGACCGCCUGGGGAGUACGGCCGCAAGGUUAAAACUUAAAGGAAUUGAC
rnacentral:rRNA from 1 species